rnacentral:tRNA from 1 species
AAAUAAGAAGCGAAUUAAUUGCAAUCAGUUUCGACCUGAACCUUGGUAAUAUUACCCUUAUUUA